UGGGCCAAGCCCCACAAAGCCCACAUCUCCCACGUCACACAACACACACUGGGUAGGGUUAGCGCUGGUUCCAACCCCUCCCGCCCCUCUGGUCCUCGGCCGCCGCUCGCCAUCCUCGACACCACCUCGCAACCGCGUGCUCCUCCACCGGUCGCUAUAGCCGUGUACGCCGCCCCGACGUGCUCAUCUGCAGCCCUCCCGGACGCGGACCAGGGGCUAAACUGCGCAGUCGCAACUAUCAGACCAGCCAUGGCUAAAGGCCCAAGCAGUCACCAUCUCAACUCAUCGGCCAGCCCACCUUUGGCAACUGCUGCUCUUUGCUGCUUGCCGCCCCUGCCAGCGGCUACACAGCCAACUAGAGAAGGUUGAAAAGGGAGGAAUGACCACAUCUGAUCCUCAUAAUUCAGAGGGGCUUAAGUGGAAGUCGAUCUGGUGAGCUCCGUGUUCGAUAAACAUUCAACAGUUUCUAUGGCGUCUUGCACAUGAGUCAUGACAGCCUACGAGUGGAGUUGGAUCAAAUAUGCCCUGUGUGUAACCGUUUUGAUGAGGAUGGUGGAGACUUGUUCUUCAAAUGCAAACCGGUGCGGAAGAUUUGGCAAGAGUUGGGCAUUGAGGAGGUCCGGCAACAGUGCUAGGAUCUGUCUGAUCCAAAGAUUGCUGUGCAACGGAUUUUAGGCCAUCCAGAAGAGCUCGAAUCAAAAUGUAUCGCUCUACUAUGCAACUGGCGGAAGAGCAGAAACAAGGUAAGCCAGGAGAAGAAAUCUCCGAACAUUGUCGCUGUACUUCGUCAGGCUCGACGCGACGCUGCCGAGUUUCUCGUUUUUUUGGCAAGCAAGCCAAGGUAAACCUCAAACCUGCUCAUUGUUGGGAGCCCCCUCCACAUGAUGUCCUGAAGAUUAACAUUGAUGGUAGCAUUGUGGCUGAUCUGAAGAGAGCAGGCUGGGGCUUUGUGAUAAGAGACGUAUAGGGAGAAGUAAUGGGUUCAGGAGCGGGUAAGAUGGACGAUGUUCAAGACAGUUUACAAGCUGAGGCAGUGUCCGGUGUCCAGGCUAUGAAUCAGGCCAUACAAUGGGGGAUGACCAAUGUCAUGGUCGAAACAGAUGCAAAGCUGCUUGUCCAAAGCCGUCAACAAUUCAAAGAGUUUCGAUCUUGUGCCCAACGGUGUCCUGUUUAGGGAGAUUAAAGCCCUGGCUAUUCUUUUUUUGUUGGUUAUUGCCAUCGGUCAUGUAAUAAUGAUGCGGACACGUUAGCGACUUAUGGUUCAAAGAUGUGUAUGAGCCGCAGGCCGUUUGGCCGGGUGAUGCACCUACCUUAACCCAUGAUUUGGUUGCCGGCGAUCUGGCGCGACACAGUGGUUAAGUUUCAAACAAAAAAAGUCAUGGAUCAGUUUUUCACCCCCCCCCCCCCCCCCACCAAUUAUGUUUCAUGAGGAUAUUUUUAUUCAGUGGAUACAUGUUGAUUUAUUCAUUUGUUUAGAAGUAAGAGGUUCAGCUUGCUGGAUGUCCUUGCAGGAGUAGUCGAGCACAGGAUCUUCCUACGAUUUGGAGGUUUGUUGUUCUUCCAAGAUUUCAGGGAGUAGGCAUGUUGCUGCCAUUUUACUGGGCGGAUACGUGCACUGCUGAGACCUUAGUCUAUCCAUUGUCGGAGUAUUUUAUGAAUUUACUCUUCUCCAUAGCGCGUCCAUGAGGGCAGAAAUUCCAUGCUCCAAAUCUGCUUGGCGAGCAGUAGGUUAUCUGGUGAUUGCUUUUGUCAACUGACCGGUUAUGAGAUUUAUGUGCACCAUGUGUUUUGUCGAUUCACCUUAUGCAGGUAGUAGUCGCUUACUACAGUACAUGCUUCGUGAUGGAAGAGAAAGUAAUUUGUAUGUAUGUGCGUAUUAUUUUAUUCCUGCGUAAAAGGUUUAGCUGUGAACAACAAUUUUUUCAUGGUGGAUACCUUAAAGUGGACGGCAAUGCAUUUACUUCAAUUCAGUUUAGAGAACAAUGUUAGGUGUCAUACUUCUGUUUUUUUUU